rnacentral:rRNA from 1 species
AUUGAACGCUGGCGGCAUGCCUUACACAUGCAAGUCGAACGGCAGCACGGGAGCAAUCCUGGUGGCGAGUGGCGAACGGGUGAGUAAAGUAUCGGAACGUGCCCAGUCGUGGGGGAUAACGUAGCGAAAGUUACGCUAAUACCGCAUACGAUCUAUGGAUGAAAGCGGGGGACCGCAAGACCUCGCGCGAUUGGAGCGGCCUAUAUCAGAUUAGGUAGUUGGUGGGGUAAAGGCUCACCAAGCCGACGAUCUGUAGCUGGUCUGAGAGGACGACCAGCCACACUGGGACUGAGACACGGCCCAGACUCCUACGGGAGGCAGCAGUGGGGAAUUUUGGACAAUGGGCGCAAGCCUGAUCCAGCCAUGCCGCGUGCAGGAUGAAGGCCUUCGGGUUGUAAACUGCUUUUGUACGGAACGAAAAGGUUUGACUUAAUACGUUGGACUCAUGACGGUACCGUAAGAAUAAGCACCGGCUAACUACGUGCCAGCCGCCGCGGUAAGAC